ACAAGUAGGUGAGAGCCCAAGUAAGAGGUGGGUUGAAGUUGAUUUUUUUGAAUCAAGUCCCUAGAUUUAGAAUAGGGACUUGUUUAAGAGGUGGGUUAGAGUUGCUCUAAGCGCGGACGGAUCCUUCUCCUUCCCCGGCGCCGUCGGCCCUGGCAGUGGCAGGUGAAGCUCGGCGCCAUCCCUCUGUAAAUCUCCCGCACCAGCGACGGUCUCCCCCCACCUCCUCAGCAUCCUGCUAUACCAGCGGGAUCUCGGUCCACUUGACAAGUGUUCAGAAGAUGGUAAGAAGUAAUAGGGUUGGUGGUGAUCUCACAAGGACUUAUUUCACACGAAGCUCAAAGAAUAAUCAAAGAACUUAUCUCACAAGAAGCUCAACAAAGAACAAAAGAAUUGAUGAUCUUACAGGAAGCUCAAAGAAGAAUAAAAGGACAUAUCUCUCAAGAAGGUCAGCAAAGAACAAAAGAAUUCGCAAUGAAGGAGAGACAACUGAGUUACUGAUUUCAGAUCAAGAUGCCUUGAGUGAGCUGAGUCCAGAAGUUGCAUCAAAUUUGUCUAGAAGUGUUGUCUCACUUUCUCUGUCCCAUGAAAAUAAGGUGUUGUUUGCAUGCUCGGGCAUACCUGUACAGCUUGGGGGACCUGUUUCAGGGUUUCUGACUUCAUCAAGCUUGGUUAAAGCUUUAAAUGGUAAAAGAACAGACCAUGGUAACUUGAAGAUUGAAGUGCGCCAUGAACAAAAUCUUGUCACAGAGUUUUUGGGACGAUAUGAUUUAGACCGUGACAUUGCUGUUGUCAACGUCGAGAACUUCCCUGGUCUUUCUCCCAUAGUUUUUCGUAGCCGGACAACAUUUCCACCCCAUACUAAUGCAGUAGCUCUAGGCUGUGACAGCUCUGGCAAUUAAUCAUCAAACGUGGGAUACUGAAUUUUGAUCCAAGCGGAGAUUUCCUAUCACGUAUGCUGUCCACUUGUAAAACCACUGAGGUUUGCGAAGGUGGUCCACUUUUUGAUUUUGAUGGGAACUUUCUUGGCAUGAACCUUUCCUCCUGUGCUGAAGGAACCUUUUGCCGGCCAUCGAUUACAGUUCUUGAUCAGUGGUGGCAUUGUAUAUGCCUGGAUGAGAAUAGAUUUCCUCUACUCUUAAAAUCUUCUAGUGAACUGAGGGCUGGAGGAAGUUCUAAUGACGAGGUGUCUAAUUCUCAUAAAAAAGGUGAACACAUAGUUACACUUCAGACAUCUCAAAACAGUUUGUUAUGUGUAGUUUAUGUUAUUUUGUAAUUAUAUAUAUUUGUAAUUUGUAAAAUCACCUUAAAUAUUUCAUUUUCUUGUGUUACCAUAUUUAUAUCUUAUUUAUAUGGUCUUCCGUCCAUUUUAGCAAUAAUAUUUACUAAAUACCCAAGUGAUAUUUACUUUGACGAAAAAUGACUUAACUGCAUCUUCCUUUCAUGUUUUUUUAAUAUUUACUAAAUCACUUACUUGUAUGGUCUUCCUUUCAUGAUUUUUGUUUUCAGGCCUUAUAGGUAAUUUUGAUGUUUAUGUACAAUAAUAUUUUAGCAAUAAAAGUUUUUGUUAUGUACUUCAAUAUUUAGCAAUAAAACCAUGACUUGCAAAGGUGUGAAUACCAUUCCAUUCUAUAUAACAAAAGGUUACUCCUUGAGACUAAAUGCACUUGCUCUUGAAACACAGGCAUGCCAUAUGCUCCCCUUGUCCAAAAAGAAAGUAAUCUCACUUUUACUAUAAAAGUAUCAAUGUUUUUGUUGCGUUCUUGUUGGUUGCAUCUCAUAUUUAUUAUUUUGAAAAAGUUUUAAAAAUCCAUUUAUAUGUCAAUUACAUAUUAUUUUUGGCAAUCUUGUACAAUCUCCUUGCUAUUUUCCCAUUUUCCUUGCUAUUUUUUCAAGGUUCUAGAUACUUUCAGGAGCAUCAAAUACUUCAUUUGAGUCUACUAUCACUUCCUAUAUGGUCUUGUUUGGAUUUUUUUUGGAAGCACUUGGAUAAUUUUUAUGUUUGAUUGAUUGAAACCUCGGUAGGUAUGUACCAGAUUUUUUUAAAAUGAAAAAAAUGAAACCGUCCUAUGGUAAGAUGUCUUGGUUUUAGAGCUGGGAGAAGAAAAAUCAUACCAUAACGAUGGUUUUAUUAGGAGAGUAUAUUGUUGCCUCAGGAAGGAAGGAAGGAACGAUCACCUCAGGAUCCAGUCUCCUUUCCCAGGGCCCCAGGCCCAAGCGACGUGGACUCUAGGCCUGGAGGCGUCGUGACUCGCCCGUUAUCUAGACUAGAUGGGCUGAGUCCAGAACUCCCAAUCCCCAGAUCCACUGGGAACUCGAGACACUAUGGAUUAUUAUUUCGCUUUCGUAGUUGUUUGGAGUACUCUGCUGUCCCAACAAACUUAUUUGAGUGAAGAGUAAAGGCCUUGUUUAUUGUUUACUUCCAAAAAAUUUUGCAAAAUAUGAAUAAUAUCCCUUUCGUUUGUAUUUG